UUGAAUAAACUUGGUUGGGUUGCUGCUGGCUCUUAGGAGCAUGUGCACGCUCACUCCAUUUUUUAACCACCUGUGCACAUAUUGUAGGCCUGAAUGGACAUUUCGAGGAAACUCGGUUUGAGAAUUGCUAUGAAAAUAAGCUGUUCUUGUAUAAUUCAGGUCUAUGUUUUAAAUCAUAUACACAAGUAACAGAAUGUAAAUCAUAGGCCUUCUGUGCCUUUAAAUCUAAUACAACUUUCAACAACGGAUCUCUUGGCUCUCGCAUCGAU
rnacentral:misc_RNA from 1 species